AAAGAUACCCAGGUAGUCCACGCCCUAAACGAUGCUCACUAGGUGUUGGGGAAGCGAUUCCUUGGUACCGUAGCUAACGCGUGAAGUGAGCCGCCUGGGGAGUACGGCCGCAAGGUUAAAACUCAAAGGAAUUGACGGGGACCCGCACAAGCGGUGGAUGAUGUGGAUUAAUUCGAUGCAACGCGAACAACUUUACCUACCCUUGACAUGUCCGGAAGCCUGCUGAAAGGCGGGGGUGCUCGAAAGAGAACCGGAACACAGGUGCUGCAUGGCUGUCGUCAGCUCGUGUCGUGAGAUGUUGGGUUAAGUCCCGCAACGAGCGCAACCCUUGUCCCUAGUUGCUACGCAAGGGCACUCUAGGGAGACUGCCGGUGACAAACCGGAGGAAGGUGGGGAUGACGUCAAGUCCUCAUGGCCCUUAUGGGUAGGGCUUCACACGUCAUACAAUGGACGGUACAGAGGGUUGCCAACCCGGCGAGGGGGAGCCAAUCCCAGAAAGCCGUUCGUAGUCCGGAUCGCAGUCUGCAACUCGACUGCGUGAAGUCGG
rnacentral:rRNA from 1 species